GACGAACGCUGGCGGCGUGCUUAACACAUGCAAGUCGAACGGAAAGGCCCUGCUUUUGUGUGGUGCUCGAGUGGCGAACGGGUGAGUAACACGUGAGUAACCUUCCCUGGACUUGGUGAUAACUUCAGGAAACUGGUGCUAAUACCGGAUAGGAGCUCCUGCUGCAUGGUGGGGGUUGGAAAUCUUAGGCGGUUGGGGAUGGACUCGCGGCUUAUCAGCUUGUUGGUGGGGGAGUGGCUUACCAAGGCUUUGACGGGUAGCCGGCCUGGGAGGGUGACCGGCGACAUUGGGACUGAGAUACGGCCCAGACUGCUACGGGAGGCAGCAGUGGGGAAUAUUGCACAAUGGGCGGACGCCUGAUGAAGAAACGCCGCGUGCGGGAUGACGGCCUUCGGGUUGUAAACCGCUUUAGCCUGUGACGAAGCGUGAGUGACGGUAAUGGGUAAAGAAGCACCGGCUAACUACGUG
rnacentral:rRNA from 1 species